rnacentral:rRNA from 1 species
UACGUAGGGGGCAAGCGUUGUCCGGAUUUAUUGGGCGUAAAGAGCGUGUAGGCGGCCACACAGGUCAGCUGUGAAAACUCGAGGCUCAACCUCGAGACGUCGGUUGAAACCGUAUGGCUAGAGUCCGGAAGAGGAGAGUGGAAUUCCCGGUGUAGCGGUGAAAUGCGUAGAUAUCAGGAGGAACACCGGUGGCGAAGGCGGGUCUCUGGGCAGUAACUGACGCUGAGGAGCGAAAGCGUGGGGAGCGAACAGG